rnacentral:rRNA from 1 species
AAGCAUAUCAAUAAGCGGAGGAAAAGAAACUAACAAGGAUUCCCCUAGUAACUGCGAGUGAAGCGGGAAAAGCUCAAAUUUGAAAUCUGGCGGUCUUUGAUCGUCCGAGUUGUAAUCUAGAGAAGUUGUUACCUGUGCGGGACCAUGUACAAGUCUCCUGGAAUGGGGCAUCAUAGAGGGUGAGAAUCCCGUCUUUGACAUGGACUGCCUGCAUGUUGUGGUGCGCUCUCAAAGAGUCGAGUUGUUUGGGAAUGCAGCUCAAAACGGGUGGUAAAUGCCAUCUAAAGCUAAAUAUUGGCGAGAGACCGAUAGCGAACAAGUACCGUGAGGGAAAGAUGAAAAGAACUUUGGAAAGAGAGUUAAACAGUACGUGAAAUUGCUGAAAGGGAAACGCUUGAAGUCAGUCGCAUUGGCCAGAAAUCAGCCUUGCUUUUGCGAGGUGUACUUUCUGUUCGAUGGGUCAGCAUCAAUUUUGAUCACUGGAUAAAGUCUCUGGGAAUGUGGCAUCCUCGGAUGUGUUAUAGCCCUUKGUCACAUGCAGUGGUUGGGAUUGAGGAACUCAGCAUGCCGAAAGGCCAGGUUUCGACCAUGUUCAUGCUUAGGAUGCUGGCGUAAUGGCUUUAAUCGACCCGUCUUGAAACACGGACCAAGGAGUCUAACAUGCCUGCGAGUGUUUGGGUGGAAAACCCAUGCGCGCAAUGAAAGUGAAAGUUGAGAUCCCUCUAGUAGGCGAGCAUCGACGCCCGGACCAGACCUUUUGUGACGGAUCCGCGGUAGAGCAUGCAUGUUGGGACCCGAAAGAUGGUGAACUAUGCCUGAAUAGGGUGAAGCCAGAGGAAACUCUGGUGGAGGCUCGUAGCGAUUCUGACGUGCAAAUCGAUCGUCAAAUUUGGGUAUAGGGGCGAAAGACUAAUCGAACC